rnacentral:rRNA from 1 species
AUUGAACGCUGGCGGCAUGCCUAACACAUGCAAGUCGAGCGGAUGAAGGGAGCUUGCUCCUGGAUGCAGCUGCGGACGGGUGAGUAAUGACUAGGAAUCUGCCUGGUAUUUGGGGAUAACGUCCGGAAACGGGCGCUAAUACCGCAUACGUCCUGAGGGAGAAAGUGGGGGAUCUUCGGACCUCACGCUAUCAGAUGAGCCUAGGUCGUAUUAGCUAGUUGGUGGGGUAAAGGCUUACCAAGGCGACGAUCCGUAACUGGUCUGAGAGGAUGAUCAGUCACACUGGAACUGAGACACGGUCCAGACUCCUACGGGAGGCAGCAGUGGGGAAUAUUCGACAAUGGGCGAAAGCCUGAUCCAGCCAUGCCGCGUGUGUGAAGAAGGUCUUCGGAUUGUAAAGCACUUUAAGUUGGGAGGAAGAGAAGUAAGUGAAUACAUUGACGUCUUGACGGUACCAAAAGAAUAAGCAACGGCUAACUUCGUG